UCCCUGGUAGUCGAGUGGUUAAGACUCUGUAUUUCUGCUGCAGAAGCUCGGGUUUGAUCCCUGGCCAGGGAA